AGAACGAACGCUGGCGGCAUGCCUAAUACAUGCAAGUCGAACGAAGGCUUCGGCCUUAGUGGCGCACGGGUGCGUAACGCGUGGGAAUCUGCCCCUUGGUUCGGAAUAACAGUUGGAAACGACUGCUAAUACCGGAUGAUGACGAAAGUCCAAAGAUUUAUCGCCAAGGGAUGAGCCCGCGUAGGAUUAGCUAGUUGGUGAGGUAAAGGCUCACCAAGGCGACGAUCCUUAGCUGGUCUGAGAGGAUGAUCAGCCACACUGGGACUGAGACACGGCCCAGACUCUACGGAGGCAGCAGUAGGGAAUAUUGGACAAAUGGG
rnacentral:rRNA from 1 species